rnacentral:rRNA from 1 species
UACGGAGGGUGCAAGCGUUGUCCGGAAUCACUGGGCGUAAAGAGCUCGUAGGCGGUUUGUCGCGUCUGCCGUGAAAACUGGGGGCUCAACCCCCAGCCUGCAGUGGGUACGGGCAGACUAGAGUGCGGUAGGGGAGAUUGGAAUUCCUGGUGUAGCGGUGGAAUGCGCAGAUAUCAGGAGGAACACCGAUGGCGAAGGCAGAUCUCUGGGCCGUAACUGACGCUGAGGAGCGAAAGCAUGGGGAGCGAACAGG